ACCUAAAUAGCUCAGUUGGGAGAGCGUUAGACUAUAGAUCGAAAAGUCCUUGGUUUGAUUCAGGGUACCAGCA
rnacentral:tRNA from 1 species